UGGGGAAUAUUGCGCAAUGGGCGAAAGCCUGACGCAGCCAUGCCGCGUGUGUGAAGAAGGCCUUCGGGUUGUAAAGCACUUUCAAUUGGGAGGAAAGGCUCACGACUAAUACUCGUGAGCUGUGACGUUACCUUUAGAAGAAGCACCGGCUAACUCCGUGCCAGCAGCCGCGGUAAUACGGAGGGUGCGAGCGUUAAUCGGAAUUACUGGGCGUAAAGCGCGCGUAGGUGGUCUGUUAAGUCGGAUGUGAAAGCCCCGGGCUCAACCUGGGAACUGCAUCCGAUACUGGCAGACUAGAGUGCGGGAGAGGGAGGUAGAAUUCCACGUGUAGCGGUGAAAUGCGUAGAUAUGUGGAGGAAUACCAGUGGCGAAGGCGGCCUCCUGGCUCGACACUGACACUGAGGUGCGAAAGCGUGGGUAGCAAACAGG
rnacentral:rRNA from 1 species